GGUAACGAGCUGAGAUUAGGAGCACUCUCUUAAAUUGAGUGCUCCUAAUCUCAGCUCGUUAGCUGUAUACA
rnacentral:miRNA from 1 species